rnacentral:rRNA from 1 species
UACGGAGGGCGCAAGCGUUGUUCGGGAUCACUGGGCGUAAAGCGCGUGUAUGCGGCCGGGCAAGUCGGAUGUGAAAUCCCGAGGCCCAACCUCGGAACUGCAUUCGAAACUGCCCGGCUCGAGUCCCGGAGAGGAUGGCGGAAUUCCCGGUGUAGGGGUGAAAUCCGUAGAUAUCGGGAGGAACACCAGUGGCGAAGGCGGCCAUCUGGACGGUGACUGACGCUGAGACGCGAAAGCGUGGGGAGCAAACAGG